rnacentral:rRNA from 1 species
GAACCUGCGGAAGGAUCAUUAACGAAAAAGUCGCAAGACUUAUUCUAUCCAUUUACACCUGUGAACUUAUUGGACUUUGCUUUGGUUGUUUAUGAGAUCGCAAGAUUUCCGGACAACCAGACUUUUUUCAAAAACACUUUUUUUAUAAAACAUGUCUGAAAACAAAAUACUAAAAGAUCAAAACUUUCAACAACGGAUCUCUUGGUUCUCGCAUCGAUGAAGAACGCAGCGAAACGCGAUAUGUAAUGUGAAUUGCAGAAUUUUGUGAAUCAUCGAAUCUUUGAACGCACAUUGCGCCCUCUGGUAUUCCGGAGGGCAUACCUGUUUGAGCGUCAUUUCUUUCUCAAACCUCGUGUUUGGUAUUGUUUGGCUACGAUUCCUUUUGGGAUUGUACUAGGCGAAAGAAAUUGGCAAGAGCAGUUCUAGGCCGUUUACAACGUAUUAGGUUCUACCAACUCGUUGGCUUAAUGGUGUUUGGACGUACGCUCGGCGUUACAACUAAAUCUUUAACGUUUGACCUCAAAUCAGGCAAGACUACCCGCUGAACUUAAGCAUAUCAAUA